rnacentral:rRNA from 1 species
GGACGAACGCUGGCGGCGUGCCUAAUACAUGCAAGUAGAACGCUGAAGUCUGGUGCUUGCACUAGACGGAUGAGUUGCGAACGGGUGAGUAACGCGUAGGUAACCUGCCUCAUAGCGGGGGUAUAACUAUUGGAAACGAUAGCUAAUACCGCAUAACAGUAUUUACCGCAUGGUAGAUGCUUGAAAGGAGCAACUGCUUCACUAUGAGAUGGACCUGCGUUGUAUUAGCUAGUUGGUGAGGUAACGGCUCACCAAGGCUUCGAUACAUAGCCGACCUGAGAGGGUGAUCGGCCACACUGGGACUGAGACACGGCCCAG